UAGAUUCAUUGUCUGGUCAGAAGAGGAAGU
rnacentral:piRNA from 1 species